rnacentral:rRNA from 1 species
AGUGAACGCUGGCGGCAUGCCUAAUACAUGCAAGUCGAACGGCAGGAUAGUAAGAUUGCGCCUUUAAGGGUGGCGAGGGGCGGAUGAGUGAGGAGUACAUAGGAUUCUUCUAUUUCGGGGGGGACUACGUAGGGCAGCGUACGCUAACACAGAAUAUUUAGUACCGGUGAAAGCUAGGGAGAUUCGGAGCUUGCGUGACUGAUUGAGACGAUGUCGCAUUAGCUAGUUGGCAGGGUAAGGGCCCACCAAGGCGACGAUCCGUAGCUGAUCUGAGAGGAUGAUCGGCCACACUGGAACUGAGACACGGUCCAGACUCCUACGGGAGGCAGCAGUGGGGAAUAUUCGGCAAUGGGCGAAAGCCUGACGCAGCCAUGCCGCGUGAGUGAUGAAGGCCUUCGGAUCGUAAAGCCCUGUUAUUGGGGAAGAACAGCUGUGGAAGUAACUGUGCCUGUUUUGACGGUACCUAAUCAGAAAGCACCGGCUAACUUCGUG